rnacentral:rRNA from 1 species
UACGAGGGGUGCAAGCGUUGCUCGGAAUUAUUGGGCGUAAAGGGCUCGUAGGCGGUCCAUCACGUCGGGAGUGAAAAGCUGGGGCUUAACCCCAGUCCUGCUUCCGAUACGGGCAGACUAGAGGUAUGCAGGGGAGAACGGAAUUCCUGGUGUAGCGGUGAAAUGCGCAGAUAUCAGGAGGAACACCGGUGGCGAAGGCGGUUCUCUGGGACGGUACUGACGCUGAGACGCGAAAGCGUGGGGAGCGAACAGG